rnacentral:rRNA from 1 species
UACGGGGGGAGCAAGCGUUGUUCGGAUUCAUUGGGCGUAAAGGGUGCGUAGGUGGCGCUGUAAGUCGGGUGUGAAAUUUCGGAGCUUAACUCCGAAACUGCAUUCGAUACUGCCGUGCUUGAGGACUGGAGAGGAGACUGGAAUUUACGGUGUAGCGGUGAAAUGCGUAGAUAUCGUAAGGAAGACCAGUGGCGAAGGCGGGUCUCUGGACAGUUCCUGACGCUGAGGCACGAAGGUCAGGGGAGCAAACGGG